GAAGCAGAGGCUCCUGGCCCUCCAAAGUAUUAUUUUCUGUGUGUUCAUCCAAAGCACACCGAUGUCACUGAAAAUCUCUCUGUGUUGUCCAGGUGAGACAAACUUGGUGUCAUGUGAGUUUGGUGACUGCAUGAGAGCCUUCCUAUUUCACCUCUAAAUUUAACAGAUGGAGUUGUGCUGGUAUUCAGCUUAGAUACAGUUUGAUUAGGGGCUGAGGUAUGAAACAGAAGUCAAAGCACUGAUCCUGGGAGUACACAGAGGUGGGAGCUGCUGGGCAGCACGCUUUGUCUUGGCAGACAUGCAUUCCAUGAUGUAAUGGCUCCUGCCAGCUCCCCUUUAGGAGAUUGGGCUGUUUUGAAGUCCAUAGAGACUACAGCACAUUACUGACAUGAAAGGACCUGGUUGCCUGGAUGGAGGUUGGGAUUGUUAGGACCCGAAGCCCAGGCUGGUGCUUUGCUCCCCAGGGCCAAGCUAGUGCAAGGCUGAGCACCGAGCAGGUGUGCGGCAGGACAGGAGAAGCCACCCCAAUGCUCAAAGCAGGAAGUGUUUCUAUGGGAAUUAAUUCUGAGAGGUUGAAUUUGGGCGUGGAGAGAGCUGCAAAAUCCUUCAGCCUCGUUCUUCCCCCCCAUUCUGUGUCCUUGUUCAUUCUCUAAAGAAUUUGAUGCAUGCAGCUCCAAAAACCCAGUCUUUCAAGAUGCGGUAGCGUACCACAAGGCCAUCCUCAGUGUUGUUGUGGUGGGUCACAGGACUGCCCCGUGGCAGGGGCAGCAAGCCCCCGGGGACUCGUGGCAGGAGCAGCAGGGCAGCCUGGGCCAGGUCCCUUGGGCUGGGGACAGGGCAGCAGGUGGGUGGCAGCAGCUGCCUCUGGGGAGGGGGCUGGCCCAGGGCAGUGCUCCUCCCCUCUGCAGGAAGCAGUGGCCAGUUCAGGGAGUUGUCCUUAAAGUCAUGGAGUCAUUAAGGCUGCAAAUGAGGUGUGAGCCCUCAGUGUAUUUUCUAAGAAGAGAGCUUCUUAGAUGUGGUGAGCCUGGAUGAUUGUAUCUGACUGCAUUAAGGUACUUGUCUCAAUGCUGCCAGCUCUAGACUGUCAGCUCAGACAGCUGGACUCGGUGGUGGUUGUGGGUCCUUUCCCCAGGUACUCAAUCCGUGUUUCAGGCCGUGCCUCAGCAGUUACCAUACAGGGGCCCUUCCAACUGAACUAAGGAUUCUGUAGUAAGUUAAGUGCAAGUUUUCUGCUCCUUAAUGCCUCUGCUCAUAAAGCAAGAAAUGCGAUCAAAAUCUUACCUUUGAUUGGGAAGGAAGGUAUCUUAUUUCCUCCAGCCAAUGGAAUAAUAAGGCAAUUUGACAUGAGAGUGUUCUGAGGGCAAAAAGGAAAAAAGAAAUCCUAAACAUUCAGCACUUCUGGAGCCGGUGAUAGUGCAGCUGACCGCCGGGCAGAAUAACUUCAGUGUGGUUACCAGACCUGCCAGCUCAAGUGACUCUGUGUCACUGUCCUGUUGUUACUGUAGAUGUUUUCACGGCAGUGGAAAACCACAUUGUGUAAAGAAAGAGGAAGCCACCUGAGUGGCUUACUGCCAGCAACUGACAGCAGUGAAGAGCAGUUUAAAUGUGCAGGUAUGUCUUUUGUCAGCCAAGGAAAAGUCCCUACUGGGAUCUGCGUGGUUGACAUGAGAGAACCUGCAGCUCCAGGGCUUGUGUCCAUUCCACCCAGAGGAUCUCGUCUCUGAGCCUGCCUUGGUGGUCACCUCAAGUUGAGGAGGAAUCAGUUCGUGCCACGCAGCCCCUGUCUGCAGCAUGAUGUAGUGUUCUGAAUAUCGAGUCUGAGUGGCUGAGAAAUAAAGUUGGGACUCGGAAGAGCUGUAUAUAACUGAGUCACAAACUACCUGUGUGACCAUUGCAAGAGAUGCUCUCUGAUGUGACAUACCCCACCGGUGACUCUUGCAUACCUGAAGAUUUUCCACUUACAUGACCACCUCGAGAAAGAGAGAGGAAUAAGACCUAGGAUUACACCUCUGAUGGGAAGAGCUGCAGCACGACCUGGAAGGGUUGAUCCAUCGCCCACCAAAGACUGCCAUCUGCUCACUAGUACGUCAGACCUCACAGCAUCCUCAUACAAUGGGAACCUUUUGCCGGAUCCCCGCCUGGGAGCA